CUGAGUCAGUUAAAUGCAAUGGAGCCUAUUCUUGGAUCAUUUGUCAUUUUUUUUGUACUGAAUUAUCUUUUACGUUGAGACCAUUAGUCCGGGCAGCUAUCCAUAUAGAUUGAUCUGUUUUAAACUUUAAAUUAUGAGCAGUAGGAAGUGACGUGAACUAGACAGUGCAGCGUUGUAUAUAUCUCAUGAUUCCUGCUGAUCACCAACAAUCUAAAAAACAUUUCAAAUCUGGGACAUCAAGUGUCAAUUCAUUUUUUAUUAAAAUGAUGAAAUUUAACAUUACAAUGUUGCUGAUAUUGGUUAUGUUUAUAAAAUUCUCUCUAGCACAAAAACAAGUUAUGGAUAUGAUAAAAACGGUAGUUAUUGCCGCUGGAAAAGGAUUAAUAGCAAUUGGAACAGCAAUAAGAAUGCUUUAUAAAAUGGCGGAAGGUGUAGUUGAAACAAUAUGCAACAGUAUGCCCGGAAAAAGUAGUAGCGGUUAUUCUUAUCAUCCCAACUGGUCCUACUAUCAGCCGCCGGAGUGAUGCUCUUCGUCCCUGGAGUUGUAUUCGUGGUUUCUGAGGCUAGUAAAACUGAUGGUGCUGUUAAAAUGUAACCAUCGGGCCUUAGUUUGCUAUUACAAUUGUGUCAGAAUGGUCGAGCAGUGCGAGAGGGACGGAGCUAUGUAGGUUGUAUAGCUCCGUCCCUCUCGCACUGCUCAGUGAUCGACCAUUCUGACACAAUUGUAAUAGCAGACUAAGGCCCCAGAUGGCUACCGUACAAAAUUUUCGACUUUAUCGUCAUGGCUGUCUUGCUCGUAGUUUUCGAGGAUUUUAAAAUGAUGGCCCUGUCAAAACGUAAUUAUAGUCCGCAUAAUCUAAGACGUCAACUCUGACAGUUGCUAUGUACUGUGAGGUAAAUAAGAUCGAUUUCUGUUUGUAACCGAUUUCUAAGUCAUAUCGAUUAAAAAUAAUUAGAAUUUGUAGUCACUGGAUUAGAAAAUAUAAUAAUAUCUCAAGAACUUUCGGAAUAGCGUGAGACUGCGUAAUGCAGUGACGAAUCAAUGACGACAAAAAGGUUUUUGUAAGACACCAUUAUAUACAAUAUGAAAGAUCGAUCGUACUUCUAUUAAAUUAAACAAUAAAAAUAUAAUUGAUUCAUUUUUGACAUACUAUCUUUCAAUAUUUCAUAAUGUAUGUUUGACUACUUCUAAUUUUAAUUUUGUUUAAAUUUGACUUUAAUUUUGAUUAUUUAUGAUUUUAACAAUGAUUGUAGCCUAAGUAUGUAUGCAUUCUUGCAUGUGUCAUUGUCAUGUAAAAGUGUGUUCUCUCCUAAACUUAUAUUGUUGUGCCCAGCAGGGUCUACAUUGUGUCAUAGUUUCAUAGUUAAGAUUACCACCUAAGCCCUAUAUGUGAAAAGCAAUAAAUAACACUGCUAUAUAUACAAAAAAAAAAAAAAACAUCUGCGGCAGGGAUUUUGUUAAUGGUUUUUGUUAAUACUCAUAUUAGACGUUCACGCUGCAUGCUUAUAUAUUUUUGAUUUACUCUGGUUAUUGAGAUGAACGGAACUAAGAAAUAAUUGAAAAUUUCAAACAUUAUGGUUCAUUGAUUUGUUUUCACUUACGUUUGUUAUCUUUUCACGGAUUUAUUUGCAACAACUUAACUUUAUAGCUAUCAGACCCUGAAGUUAUCAGUUAUAAAUCGGUUGUUUUGUGUUAAAGUGAAUUUUUCCUUUCAAAAACAAUUCGCUUUUACGUUGGGACCAUUAGUCCGUGUGGUUAUCCAUAUGGAUUAUUCCGUGUUAAACUUUAAAUUAUCAGCAGAUGGAAGUGACGUGAACUAGACAGUGCAGCGUUGUAUAUAUCUCAUGAUUCCUGCUGAUCACCAACAAUCUAAAUAACAUUUCAAAGCUGGGACAUCAAGUGUCAACUGAUCAUUUAAUGAAAUGAAGAAAUGGAGUAUUGUAAUAUUGUUGAUAUUGGUUAUAUUCAUAAAGUUGUCUCCAGCACAUGACCCAUCUACAUUUAAGCAGGAAAAAAGGUUUCUAAAGGAGCAGCUAUAUGUUGCUGGAAAAGAAAUGACGCAUGUUUUUGAUGAUGUUGGACAUUUUUUCAAAUUCAUAUGGUCUAAAAUUGCUGUAUAAAAAGACUGACACAGAAACUAAAUGGUGAUGAAACUAGAUAAAUGAAACCAAAGAGCUUUGGAAGUUCCUUGAUGGCUUUUGCAUUACGUGCGACCAUGCACACGAGAUUGCAAUUCAAGUACAAUAGAUCGUGGACUAUUUUGUAUUAUUAUACAACAUGGGACGGAGCGCUAGUUAUUAAAAAUAAUUUAACACCUACUGAAAAUUUGAAAAAUAAUAAAUAAUGAUUCCUUUCUUGUAUUGAGAGCUUUGAGCGUCUACCACUGCACGGGUGGUGGAAUCAGCAGUUACAACUCUU